AAGAAAGUAAGAAAGGGCGUAUGGCGGAUGCCUAGGCUCACGGAGGCGAUGAAGGACGUGAUAAGCUGCGAUAAGCUUCGGGUAGGUGCAAAUAACCCUUGAUCCGAAGAUUUCCGAAUGGGACAACCUAGCCGUCUGAAGGACGGUUACUCUUACCAAGUAAGAGAGCUAACGCAGGGAACUGAAACAUCUUAGUACCUGCAGGAAGAGAAAAUAAAUGAAUGAUUCCCCCAGUAGUGGCGAGCGAACGGGGAACAGCCCAAACCAGUGGCGUCGCAAGGCGUGGCUGGGGUUGUAGGACCGCGACAUUGUAUGCAAAUCGUGAACAGAACACUUUGGAAAAUGUGACCAUAGACGGUGAUAGUCCAGUAUGUGAAGCGAAAUGCAGCAUAGCGGUAUCCUGAGUAACGCGGGACACGAGGAAUCCUGCGCGAAUCUGCCGGGACCAUCCGGUAAGGCUAAAUACUCCCGUGAGACCGAUAGCGAACGAGUACUGUGAAGGAAAGGUGAAAAGAACCCCGAGCAGGGGAGUGAAAUAGUUCCUGAAACCAUACGCCUACAAGCGGUCGGAGCAUCUUACGAUGUGACGGCGUGCCUUUUGCAUAAUGAUCCUACGAGUUACCGUCACUGGCGAGGUUGAGUGUCACGAGACACGUAGCCGCAGUGAAAGCGAGCCUGAAGAGGGCGCACAGUCAGUGGGGGUAGACGCGAAACCAAGUGAUCUACACUUGGCCAGGAUGAAGUCCCGGUAACACGGGAUGGAGGUCCGCACCAAUAAGCGUUGAAAAGCUUCUGGAUGAGCCGAGUGUAGGAGUGAAAGGCCAAUCAAACUUGGAGAUAGCUCGUACUCCCCGAAAGGCAUUUAGGUGCCGCGUCGGAUGGUCACCGUGAGAGGUAGAGCGACCGAUAGGACAAGAGGGCUUCACCGCCUAUCGAGUCCUGACGAACUCCGAAUGCUCACGGUCUGCAGUCCGGCAGUAAGGGGGCGGGUGCUAAGGUCCGUCCCCGAGAGGAGAAGAAUCCAGACCGCCGUCUAAGGUCCCGGAGUUCUGCCUGAGUUAGUCUAACGAAGUCUGGUCCCUAUGACAGCUAGGAUGUUGGCUUGGAAGCAGCCAUUCAUUCAAAGAGUGCGUAACAGCUCACUAGUCGAGGGUCCGGGCAUGGAUAAUAAUCGGGUAUAAGGCAGACACCGAAGGCGCGGGAUAGCAAUUAUAAAAGUAUCGGUAGGGGAGCAUACUCACAGCGUCGAAUGGUGUACGUAAGUUAUCCUGGAGCGGUGAGUAAAGCAAAUGUAGGAAUAAGUAACGAUAAGGAGGGUUAGAUUCCCUCCCGCUGUAAGACCAAGGUUUCCCGGGCAAUGCCAAUCAGCCCGGGGUCAGUCGGGUCCUAAGUCUAAGCCGAACGGCGAUGGCGAUGGCAGAGACGGUUAAUAUUCCGUCACUGCCGCAUGGGGCGAUGUGGAGACGGAGCAGUGAAACCACCGCGGGGCGACGGAAGUCCCCGUUGAAG
rnacentral:rRNA from 1 species